UGCAGCUGCCACACAGCGGGCAUUUCUCACCAUCCAAGAAUGGACCGGGGAUCUGCCAAGGGUGUCCUCACCCUCGAUGAGAACGUUCCCACAGUAUCUGCAGGGCGCCUGCCCCGUCACUUCUGGAGUGUUCAAGACUGACCUUUGAAGACAAACCUAUCCUAAUUGAAUGUCAGCGAAGCGGCUGACAGGAAAUGACUUCUUGCGAGAUCUGCAGCAGACUUCAAGGCACAAAAGGGAGGUGUGGCUCUCACAUAUAACAGAGCACCAUGCCUGCCUGUGUGCUGCCAUAGCUCCC